AGUUUGAUCCUGGCUCAAGAUGAACGCUGGCGGCGUGCCUAACACAUGCAAGUCGAACGGGGUAUAUAAGCGGAAGUUUACGGAUGGAAGGUUAUAUACUUAGUGGCGGACGGGUGAGUAACGCGUGGGCAACCUGCCCCGUGCCGGGGGAUACCGCCUGGAAACAGGCGCUAAUACCGCAUAAGCGCAUACAGCCGCAUGGGUGUAUGCGGAAAGCUCCGGCGGCACGGGAUGGGCCCGCGCCCGAUUAGCCAGUUGGCGGGGUAACGGCCCACCAAAGCGACGAUCGGUAGCCGGCCUGAGAGGGCGGACGGCCACAUUGGGACUGAGACACGGCCCAAACUCCUACGGGAGGCAGCAGUGGGGAAUAUUGCACAAUGGGGGAAACCCUGAUGCAGCAACGCCGCGUGAAGGAAGAAGGCUUUCGGGUUGUAAACUUCUUUUAUUCGGGACGAAGAAAGUGACGGUACCGAAUGAAUAAGCCACGGCUAACUACGUGCCAGCAGCCGCGGUAAUACGUAGGUGGCAAGCGUUAUCCGGAUUUAUUGGGUGUAAAGGGCGUGUAAGCGGGAAUGCAAGUCAGAUGUGAAAACUCAGGGCUCAACCCUGANCCUGCAUUUGAAACUGUAUUUCUUGAGUGCUGGAGAAGCAAUCGGAAUUCCGU
rnacentral:rRNA from 1 species